rnacentral:rRNA from 1 species
AACGAACGCUGGCGGCAUGCCUAACACAUGCAAGUCGAACGAGACCUUCGGGUCUAGUGGCGCACGGGCGCGUAACGCGUGGGAACCUGCCCUUAGGUUCGGAAUAACUCCCCGAAAGGGGUUCUAAUACCGGAUAAUGUCUUCGGACCAAAGAUUUAUCGCCUUUGGAUGGGCCCGCGUUGGAUUAGCUAGUUGGUAGGGUAAAAGCCUACCAAGGCGACGAUCCAUAGCUGGUCUGAGAGGAUGAUCAGCCACACUGGGACUGAGACACGGCCCAGACUCCUACGGGAAGCAGCAGUGGGGAAUAUUGGACAAUGGGCGAAAGCCUGAUCCAGCAAUGCCGCGUGAGUGAUGAAGGCCUUAGGGUUGUAAAGCUCUUUUACCCGGGAUGAUAAUGACAGUACCGGGAGAAUAAGCUCCGGCUAACUCCGUG